AUUGAACGCUGGCGGCAAGCCUUACACAUGCAAGUCGAACGGCAGCACGGGUGCUUGCACCUGGUGGCGAGUGGCGAACGGGUGAGUAAUACAUCGGAACAUGUCCUGUAGUGGGGGAUAGCCCGGCGAAAGCCGGAUUAAUACCGCAUACGAUCUACGGAUGACAGCGGGGGACCUUCGGGCCUCGCGCUAUAGGGUUGGCCGAUGGCUGAUUAGCUAGUUGGUGGGGUAAAGGCCUACCAAGGCGACGAUCAGUAGCUGGUCUGAGAGGACGACCAGCCACACUGGGACUGAGACACGGCCCAGACUCCUACGGGAGGCAGCAGUGGGGAAUUUUGGACAAUGGGCGAAAGCCUGAUCCAGCAAUGCCGCGUGUGUGAAGAAGGCCUUCGGGUUGUAAAGCACUUUUGUCCGGAAAGAAAUCCUUGGCCCUAAUACGGUCGGGGGAUGACGGUACCGGAAGAAUAAGCACCGGCUAACUACGUG
rnacentral:rRNA from 1 species